GUCAGCAGCUAACUCUCUGCAACUCACAUGGUAGCACAUUGAAGCUGCUGGAAGCAGGGCUGCGCCCGGUCAGUACAUGGAUGUGAGACUACAUGGGAAAGCCACGUUGCUGCUGGAA
rnacentral:rRNA from 1 species